rnacentral:misc_RNA from 1 species
UGCAUAUUGCCCUGUAAGC